rnacentral:rRNA from 1 species
CUACGGAGGGUGCAAGCGUUAAUCGGAAUUACUGGGCGUAAAGCGUGCGUAGGUGGUUUGUUAAGUUAGAUGUGAAAGCCCCGGGCUCAACCUGGGAACUGCAUUUGAAACUGGCAUACUAGAGUAUAGGAGAGGAAAGUGGAAUUUCAGGUGUAGCGGUGAAAUGCGUAGAUAUCUGAAGGAACAUCAAUGGCGAAGGCAGCUUUCUGGACUAAUACUGACACUGAGGUACGAAAGCGUGGGUAGCAAACAGGAUUAGAAACCCGAGUAGUCC